UUAAUAAAAGAAUGAAAAAUUAAAACUCACACACAUAGUGUGUGUGAGUCUGCGAUCGAACAGAGGGAGGGACAAGGUGAAAAACCUAGCUUUGUUAAUUCCAUCAAAUUGAGUAGAGAUUUCAAGGAUAAUCAGUUGCAUGACCCUAAAUUUCGAUCAUCCAAACGUACUCAGUAAAGUGGCGUAAAAGAAGAAAGCUCAAACGCUAGGAAAUUUGGAAAGCUCGCAAGAUCGAGGUAAAUCCUCAACAUAAUGGCUUGGCGACUUGGAACGAACACACAUGAAUCACGUCCACCAUGUGCUUCCGCUACUUUUGUAAUUAUGUUAUGGGUCAAAAAUACUUUUGUGGUAUAUAACUUUUGU
rnacentral:lncRNA from 1 species